CUGACACCCUUGUAGACUAAAUUCCUCUGUUUAUCCGUUAAAUAAAAUACAGAAAAGGCAGUGACAGUGCAAGCUUCCCCAUUCUACUCUACAAAGUGCCUCAACUCUGACCUAGAGAGAUCACCUAUAAGGCUGAGAGGUUAAUUCUGUCGCCAUCACACUGAAUCCUCGGUCUCU
rnacentral:sRNA from 1 species